UAAAAGGUCGAAGCUUGUUGCUAGUUUUGGUGUUUUGACAAAAUUGUGGUCGGAUGUACACCAACACGUGUGUACAUAUGAACAACCAGGAUUUUAUACAUGUGUACACGCGUGUAUAUGUACAUAAUAAGUAAUGUUGAUAUGAGUAUUCUUGUUGAUAGGUUGGCAUGUAUAUGUUGUGUUUGUUGGUGUAGGAGCCGGUGCAUAUGAAUAAUAUCCAUGUGUACACCGAUGUAAUGAUAUUCACAUG
rnacentral:lncRNA from 1 species